UGUUCAUCGCAUUGUUAAAAU
rnacentral:piRNA from 1 species